GAUAGGCAAAUACAUUAGAAAAAAAUGAGACCUGUUCCAUUUUAAAACUUUUAUUUCCUAUGUGAGGAGGUCAGGGAAGGCUUGUUUCAAAGGCAAUAUUUGGGUGAAGCUGACAGGAGGUCGCAGUGCAGAUGUCUGGGGAAAGGUGUUACAGGCAGAAGGAACAAGACACAGGGAUCCCGAGGCAGGGGCCAGCCAAUCCUCUGGAAAUAUCAAAGGCCAGAUUGCUUGGUGCAGAGUGAGCAGGAAUUCAGAAAGGCUACAGGGAGCUAGGUCGCGUAGGACUGUGUUGCAGGCUUGGUUCUCCAGAAACAGACUCUGAGAGGGAAUUGGGUGAGCAGGUCAUGUUUUAGGGAGUGCUGUUGAAAUGAAGACAAAUGGAAAGGAGUGGGAGGAAGUAGGAUAGAAACAGGUCGAGCUGCAGUGCAGACCCAGUAACUGUCUGAGGUGACCCCCACAUGGAGCACUGGCCUGAGAGUGGCCUCUGGAGUUGUCCUGAUUAGGGUGAUGUAUCUGGGUCGUGAUGACCCCAUGUGGCCCAGUCAUUGGAUAUGGGCUGCCCUGGGAAGACUCUGUGACCUUGGGUGAGGUGACAUCAGCUGAUACAGUCCUGAAGACGUUGACAGCUGGGGAAUGCCUGCCACCAGCUCUAGCAGCAGGGGAUUAGGUCACCCUGAAGAGGAGCUGGGCGGCUCAUCACAGGGUCCAGCACGACCUUCGGGCCUCAGAAGGAGCUCUGGCUUUUCUUCCGGUGGAAUGGAGAAUCUUUGGAUGGUUUUGUGAGUAGAGGAGUGAAGUAACCUUUUUGCAUGUAAAGACCACUCUGGCUGGCAUUUUGAGACUAGAAUGGGGAGAGAUGAGACCAGGGAGAAGCUGCGGCAAUCUGAUGAGGCAGCCUGCGUUGGGGUGGCAAGAAAUGGCCAGUUCUACAUGUAUUUGGCUGCCAGAGCCAACAGAUCUUCCCACUAUAUAGGGUGUAGAGUGUGUGGGAGAGAGAGUCAGGGCUGAGUCACUGUGCAUAAAUUUGGAGUCAGCAGCUUAGAGAUGGCUUGUGAAGCUCCUUCAGGGGACAGAAAGACUAGACAGAGUAAAACAAGGACUAGGCCCGAGUCAUUAAGAGAUCACAUAUGGGUGUGUAUAUGGAGAUAAUUUUGAAGAUUCUACACACUCCCCCCUACUCCAGUUACAUGAGUAUCUGUUGACUCUAAAAAACAUGAAUUUAACACCACAGUGGUUUUUGAACUUGAUAAUAGAGUUCUAAAGUUCCCAAAAGCUUCCUCAAGAGGCCUCUAGGGUCCUGAGAGUUGUAAAUGCAGCAGGAGCCUUCAGGUAACAAAUGAAAAAUGAUUCUUCUGCUUAGAAAAUAUUUGAAUAUCAUCACUAAAUUAUUUUUAGGUAGAAUAGAUAAAGUGUCUUUUCAAAUUUAGCAUUAGGACUAAACCAACCAUACAGUUCUGAAAAGCUCCUCUUUCUCUCUGUGCCGAUCUGUCAAACACAGCGUUCCAGACUCAUUGUUCUAUUCUGUUUUUAGCACUCACUCCCAAAGUGUAACCCCCACCCCCACACACCAGGUCCCUCUUUUUCCACUUCAUUCUACUAUUCACUUCAUUCUUUAAUUCUUUUGUCUUUUUGCUGCAGUUUCGCCAUACUUUUUUAGAUCCAAUUUUAUAAUAAUUUAAUUUCAAAAGAUGUAAUUGGAAUUGGAAUAGGCCUUUUGUACCUUACCUUUCUUUUGUUUUUUAAUGACUGGGAAUCGAUUUGUUAACUUAAUCCAAGGGAGUUAUACUAUGAAGUUUUGCACUUUUUUAUCUGGCUUUUUGACAAGUUAGACCAUAUUAUUAAAAACCUCGGUCCAAUUCUUUCAGUAACUUUCUGGAUUUUUCAAUAGAAUGAACUUACUGAUUGUCAAGGUUUUAAUCUAGGUUAUUACAGAAGAGCUAUCACUCCACAGAAGACACCCCAACUGGCAGGGCAUUCUCUGCAGCUUAAAAUUGCGCACAGGCAGUUGUCUUUUCCUGAAAUCCAAUCAAGUUUUAGAAUUGGCGCCUACCAUCAAGGAAUUUCAAGGGAUCACUAAAAACGAUAACAGAUGUCCAGGUCAGUUUUGUGAUAAACAGUACUAAUGAAAAAAAACAUAGAAAAAUAUUGAAUAUCUGCUGCCAACCAUGAACACGUUACCAGACCAAAACACAUUGCUUGGUUUUCCAAACAAAAACACAAACAGAAUAAGAUUAAGACAUGCCAUUAAAAAUAUUUUAAGAGCUGGGCAUUAUUUCAUGAUGUCACAAAUGUAAGUCUAAAAAUUUUAAAGUGACUUACUUGGCAAAUGCUAGAUUUUGUAGUUUAGGUUUUUGAAAUUUCUAUAUUUCCAUUCUCCACAGUCUGUAAUGCCUAUAUGUCUGUUUUAAUUUUAAAAUACCUUAACUGAAUUAAAAAAAAAUUGUUUUAGUGUCAUGAUUUAA